UGAAUCUUACUCUACACUAAGAAGUCAAUUGCUACUUACUUCUCCACUCCCAUCACUUGCUCGGGUAUAUUCUCUACUUCUUCAAGAAGAAAGCCAAAUAGACUUACAAAAUCAUUCACUUUCAGAAUCAGCUGCAAUGGCAGUAAGGCAGCCUCCUAGAGCAUCCAACAAACCUCCUCCUUGGAAGGACAAGAAGAGCCCUAAAUGUACUCACUGUGGCUACCUCAAUCAAACUGUUGAUACGUGCUUUCAGCUCAUAGGCUAUCCUCCUGGUUGGAAGGGUCCCAAAGGUCCAAGAACUCUAGCUGGUACUCCUAGUGCUCAUGCUGUGACUUUGGACCAGCACACAGAUGAUGAGAUACCAAAUAUUUCAUUCAAUUAAGAUCUUUAUCAACAAUUAUUGGCUUUUGGUAAAGCUCAGCAAACAUUUCCCUCUCAAUCAUCUAAUCCCAUACCUUCUGCAACAGCUACCAUCACUACAGGUAUUUAAUUUUGUAAUUCAGCUUCUUCUAAACCCAAAUCUAUCUCUUGGGUAAUUGAUAUAGGUGCAACAGAUCAUAUGAUCUACUAACCAACUUUUUUCACUUUCAUCGUUUCGACAAGCAUCACUAAAGUUCAUUUACCAAAUGGCACUUCUGUCCCAGUUAGCCACAUUGGCAAGGUUCAAAUUUCUGACAACCUGGCUCUUAAAAAUGUUCUGUGUGUACCUUCAUUUUCAUUUAAUUUGAUAUUAGUGUCAAAGUUUACAAAAUCUACUAAUCUAGUGUAUUGUUUUCUGCCUCCUAUUGCCUUAUACAUGAUUUGACCAGCAUGACGAUGACUGGUUUUGCUAAAGAAAAAGAAGGUCUAUAUCACCUCAUGACCAAUCAUGAUCAACAUGUCUCUAAACCUGUAAACACCAACUCCAUAGCAUAUGCUUCUCAACAUUCCAGCUAUAACCUUUGACACCACAGACUUGGCCACAUAUCCAAUACUCGAAUGCUCAAAAUCCCACAUAUUGCUUCUCAGAUUCCUUGUAAAAAUUUACAUAAAUAUGAUGUUUGUCCAGUAGCAAAACAAAAGAAAUUACCAGUUCCUAUCAGUACAUCAAUAUCAAAUAAUAUUUUUAUCUAGUCCAUCGCGAUAUAUGGG
rnacentral:lncRNA from 1 species